rnacentral:rRNA from 1 species
CUCCUUCUGAAAAAAUAGAAGGUAGGCCCUGCCCAAUGCAUAGAGUGAAUGGCCGCAGUAAUUUGACUGUGCAAAGGUAGCAUAAUAAAUUGGCUUUUAAUUGGAGUCUGGUAUGAAGGGGUUGACAAGCUUUCUUCUUUCUUCUUUAAAGAAGUUUGAAUUUUAGUUUCAGGUUAAAACUCCUGAAUGAGAGGGAGGGACGAUAAGACCCUAUAGAUCUGGCUCCCUCUCUUUUUAAAAAGAGAAGAGUAGAGGAGGUUAUUUGGGAUGAAACGAAAUAGUUGUAAACAUUCGUUAACAGAAGUCUGAUUAGACAAACACAAGAUCUCUAGAAAAGAAAAAAAAGGAAAGUUACCUUAGGGAUAACAGCGCAAUACCCACUGCUAGAACUUAUGGUUGUGGGAGUUUGCGACCUCGAUGUUGAAUUAAGUUUACCUUUCUACGAAGAAAGAGAAAUGGUUAGUCUGUUCGACUAGUAAAAACUU